AUUGAACGCUGGCGGCAUGCCUUACACAUGCAAGUCGAACGGCAGCAUGAUCUAGCUUGCUAGAUUGAUGGCGAGUGGCGAACGGGUGAGUAAUACAUCGGAACGUGCCCUGUAGUGGGGGAUAACUAGUCGAAAGAUUAGCUAAUACCGCAUACGACCUGAGGGUGAAAGUGGGGGGCCGCAAGGCCUCAUGCUAUAGGAGCGGCCGAUGUCUGAUUAGCUAGUUGGUGAGGUAAAGGCUCACCAAGGCGACGAUCAGUAGCUGGUCUGAGAGGACGAUCAGCCACACUGGGACUGAGACACGGCCCAGACUCCUACGGGAGGCAGCAGUGGGGAAUUUUGGACAAUGGGGGCAACCCUGAUCCAGCAAUGCCGCGUGUGUGAAGAAGGCCUUCGGGUUGUAAAGCACUUUUGUCCGGAAAGAAAUCGCACUUACUAAUAUUAGGUGUGGAUGACGGUACCGGAAGAAUAAGGACCGGCUGACUACGUGCCAGCCGCCGCCGUAAUAC
rnacentral:rRNA from 1 species